rnacentral:ncRNA from 1 species
AAAAAAUCGAUGAAAGAACGAGUAGAUUUCAAACUAACUGUAGAAGAGAAAGUUGCCAUGGCUGAAAGCAACUUCAUUAGAGAGAUCGAAAGACAUUCUGGAGAUGAGCGGAGGAAAAGCCGUUCCGUUACGAGCGUUAAUCGUUGGAGGAAAGAGCAAUCUUUCGAACUUAGGUGGUACCGCGUGUGUCUAUUCACUCGCCCUUGUA